rnacentral:rRNA from 1 species
UACGUAGGUGGCAAGCGAUACUCGGAAUCACUAGGCGUAAAGCGCAGGUAGGCGGUUUGGUAAGUCUUUUGUGAAAGCUCCUGGCUCAACUGGGAGAGGUCAAGGGAAACUACCGGACUAGAGUGUGGUAGGGGAUACUGGAAUUCCUGGUGUAGCGGUGAAAUGCGUAGAUAUCAGGAGGAAUACCUAUGGCGAAGGCGGGUCUCUGGGCCGAUACUGACGCUGAGGAGCGAAAGCGUGGGGAGCGAACAGG